GAUCAGGGCCUUGACAGAAUCAGGCACAAAGGCUUUUCCCCUCCCGAAAACUGAGAGCACACACAUCUCCCAAACCCAGUAGUGGGUGGACCCGCAUGACUCAAGAGUGACCGAAGGACCUCUUUCAUCGGGGAUGGACUGAGAAGCAGCAAUUAGCAUCAAAGAAUCAAGAGAGUUAGGGAGCAGGGAUUGAUCCAUUGAUCCUGUUCUCGUGAAGCCAGCUCCAAGUGUUAGCGAGGAGGGCUGUGAAGAUGGGAUCUGGCAAGGGAGCCGAUCUAGGGCCUGGAAGCAAGAGUGGCCCACAGAGAAAAAAACAGCAAAGUGGUAUAGCAAGAGUCCGCUGCAGCAUUCAAGUAACGGGUGACUUCACAAGGUGGAAACCAAGUGGGUAGCACUAGCGACCAAGGGGAGCACACUGGCUCAAGAAUCCAGGGGCAGUUAAAGCCCAAAACAUGUCCUGAAAGAACAUUCCAAUUUACCUUCUUUCUUGACUGAGGAAGUUCCAGGGAAUCUCAAAAGAUCCCAUUGUUUGUCUGUUGUGCUGUGCUACAUCAUAAUGUGUGGAUAGGCUAAUGGAAAUGGAGUGAUUGGAACAUGCAAACACAGGAACUUGUAGGUCAGAAAUA